GAAACGCAAAGCCAGAGGAACAGACUAACACACACUAAUGCUGUUUUUGACUUCUAUUUAUGCCCUCAGUAGGCGUGACCUAACGGCCGCACUUCAAAGCACGGCCGAACUUCAAAGCACUCAGCCUUUUGACGCGUCAUGUAAUCUUCCUUCUAAUGGCGCAACUCCUCCCACUCAUUCAUAAUCCGACCUCCGCGUUUGCACUCGUCCUACAAGAGCUCCCAAAUUUGAACAUCACUGAUGUUCAUCGGAUUUACAGAGUGACGACAAACCCCGUCAGCAUGUUAGAUAAAGGAUUUAAGUUAUAUGCUGCAUCAUAUAUACACAACUACGAAGAUUAAGCUUCUGGAUUCAUCGCCAGUGCUCCUGUGUGGCAGGUGCUGUUAUGUGCAAUCACACAGUGGCACUGCUCUUCCAAACAGCACACUACUCACAACUCAGAGUGCCGGUUGUCCCCUGUGCAUAGCUGCACCGAAUCUGAACAGCAAUGGCACAAGCCACGGACAGUGGGUGUGAAGCCAGGACCUAUCAACUCUAUGAUCUUCACUAAGCCGGUACCAAAUAGGAUGGCCCAGACUGGAGUACGGAGUGGAUUCUACAGAGGCAUUGUGGGUCCAUUACCAGAUCCCUGACCUGACAAGCCCCUUGUGGAAAGUGCCUUUGGGCUGGUGCAGGAGGGCAGUGUUCUGUCAUGUCAGCAGCCGGUUUGACAACCCGGUACAUCACACUACACCGUGAUGCACCACCAACACCGCACUUGCCUCUGGAGGGUAUGACAUCAAGGAAACCCUGCUCGCUCAGACAGCCUGUGAUAUUUUCUCAAACCGCUGCGCUGAACAAGUUUCCAAAGAACAUGCUGUGUGACACAAUAAAUAUCCUUUAACCUGUUAACCUGUGGCUUCUGGAAGAAACUCGGGUGAGUCAGUCACUGCAAACACAUUUGUAUCAUCAAGUGUUUGUCAAAUGAAAAUGAUAUGUUUU
ensembl:lncRNA